GAGGCAACGGAGGCGGGCGAGGGCGUGCAGCGGGAGGGGGGAGGGGUAGCAGGGCGGCUCGUACGUCGAGUCGAGUCGACGAGCAGAUAGCGAGCGCGAGGGGUCGGGCCGGGACGGGACGGGCAUACAUACAUAUAUAGUGGAGAGUGCCGAGGACAUUUUCGAUGUCAACAUGGAUGGACAGACAGACAGUCUCACAGAUGCUGUGUGUGUGCAGGAGAUGAGACGGACAUGCAACCAUGCACCAUGCUCGACCACUAGCUCCAACCAGCCCGCUACCUGAGCUAGUACCUCGCGGGCUACCACCUGCCGUUGCCGCCCUGCUAGCCCGCCUCGUUCAGCCUGGUCGACGGCGGGCGCGGCCGCAGCCGCAGGUGCCGCGUCAGCGAGUCGGCCUGCCGCAGCCGCCUCUGCCACGAGUCGUGCCGGCUGCACCGGUCGGACAGCGCGUUCAGGUCGAAGCCCUUCGCGAGGCGCAGCCCGCCGUCGCCGCGGCCGCCCUUGUCGGUGCCCGCGUCGGUGUAGGCGUUCAGGGCGUCGCGCGUCGACUUCGACCUGUACCUCCUGGAGCAGUCGUCGCCGCGGCGCGAGUCGGCGCGGAGGUCGCGGUCGGAGCCGAAGAGGAAGUGGAAGUGGCCGAAGUGGGGCGGCGGGGUCCUGUACUACAGGAGGCGGCUCGAGCGCGGGAAGUCGCUGCUGCUGCAGCUGGAGCUCCGGCGGCUGUGGUGCGCGGCGUUCUCGGAGUACCGUCUCGGGUGGGACGGGUAUAUGGAGUUCAAACGCCUCCACUUCAUGUCCCACCGCCACUUCCCCUGCGGCUCCCUCUAUGACUCGCCCUAUAGCCCCAGCCGCUCGGGGCCGCUCCACGACCGCUACUACCCGGGGAGGCCGUCGCCGUUCUGGUGCGACGAGUCGUACGAGCCGCCGUCCCGGUGGCGGCGGCUGCCGACGUAGAGGAUGUUGCUGCUCGGGAAGCCGUUCAGGGAGUUCGCGUCCUAACCUAAACACUGAGUUCUACUACAAGAGAAAUGAGUAGAAUGACACUUCCUCUGUGAUUGUAUGCGUCGUAAUGAAGCAGAGGGUUCUUGUUACUGUUCCCUCGUUUUCUUUCUUGCCCGUUACCUGUAGUAUAUACUUGACCCGGAGCUCUCCACGGUCCUGUGAUACUAACCUCCUAGAAAACACGCACCCCAAAGUCCCCCACUUUCCUUUUCUCAAACGUAGCCGUUACUCUAAUAUUAGUUAGGUAGAAACGAAAAGGAACUACUCGGCUGUAGGCCCAACCUAAGUUGAUGUCGUGAAUCCUAUCAAGUUGAAGAUGUACUGUAACGACUCUGACCCUUCUGUCACUAGUGGUGCUAGGUAGUUGGUAGGUCGUCCGACAAAGUAUUCAAACUGUUCGAAUAGGAGGACCCGUCUCCUUCAAACGAGAUGAAACCCUUCUGUCGACUUCGGUACGGGAUGAAAAGUAGGUAACCUACGUUGGGCGAGUAGCGUUACUUGGGUCGUCUCAAAGAUGACCUAGAACGGUUACCGUUGUGAUUACUACAAAGACAAGGAAGGCUUAAUCUACUGUUCCACGUGUACCUUUUAGUCUUAGACGUCCUAUGAUUAAGGUUCUAAUUGAAUUCCGGUAGUCGUGUUCUACAAGUACUCAUGGAACAACUACGAAUACUCGUAGCUCACCGUAUAUUCCUCUUCUUCUUCGAAGAUCGUGGUGAAGGCUAGUCACUACUAUACUUCCGUUGUUAUUGUAGAAGCUUUGCUCUCACCCCGUGUUUGACCACGGUCGUCAUAAGGUAGGAGAAGACAUCUCCAGAGUUCCUUUCUGCCGUACUAAUAAACUCGACCUACUCUUAGUGGGUCCAGUAUCGAUGUAGUUAAUAGAAUCCAAACGAGACCACCGUGAGACUAGGGUGGUGUGGUUUUCCAGAUGUUCUAGUCCGUCCGAAUGACAAAAAGUAUCGGCACAAAACCCCAAAGAAAGGACACAAAUGACGGUAGAAGUGUAAGGGAGUUCUCUCCCGUUACAACUUGUUCCUCGCACGUCGACUGUACAUGUUCGAGUCACGUAUGAAGAACCGGUCUUGCUGUUCACUAGACGGUGAUCUGGAAAAGGAGGGUCAGUAUAAAUACCACUAACAGAUGAAGUACCGUCCGGAGUUUCGUUCACGGUACGCAAAGAAAGAAUCGUACAACUGACAGAAAGAGUCGUAGUAACGACGAGUCCAUACCGUCAGUUUUGACCAAGUCAGUAUGUUAGUUACGGGUACUGUAGAGAAUAUAACGACAAACACUUGAUUCAUUUGGAUCUAUAAAAUAUAAGACUUUCAAAAAAGACAAUAAAUUGGUGCACCGGUGGUAUGUACGUGAUCAAUUUUUUUCUGAAAUAAAACCUAAUUAUUUUGUUUUGCUUGUAGUUUAAGUACAAUUUAUCAUCCGGAGCUUUAUUUAUCUACCGUUCGAUAAAAAAAGGAGCCUUUCUUCGUGUGGCAAAAGAUCAGAUAGUAAAGUAGUCUACACAACGAAUAUUCAUUUCCUUUUACAAAGGAUUAGAUGUACUAUUAUAAUGUGCUACGGAGUUUUCUUGUAAUUGUCACUAAACUUUAGAUACUGAGUUCUUCCUUCAACAUACGUCCCUGAUCCUGACCGUUAACCUCGAUGGGAGAACCUAUAGUUCUUCCGUUGUUGAGAUCGAAGUCAGUGUCAGUACUGUAAGUACGAUCGUCCUCCCAAGAAACAUUUCCACUCUCGUUCAUGGUAAGUGUGGAUAGUUGACUAUAUUUCGACUUAAUAAUGAUGAUGCAUACCUUCCCCGUUCCGACUUAAUAACGAAGAACUUGUUUGUGUACAGAAGUUAGACCGAUAAACGGGAGGAAAAGGGAGACUAGACGUCUCUCAAGGCGGUAAGUAUAGGACCGAGGCCAUGGACAGGAAGUUGAUGGUGUGCAUGUCCGACGACGACUUCCACGUCAUGCUGGGGCACGGCCUGUAGGACUACUGGAGGCAUGGAGACCUAUUGCCGCACUGUCUUCAGCCUCGGGACCAACGCUACUAGUAGCCCAUGGCCCACGACCGGAUGGACAGGGAGUCCGCUCACUUCCGAAGCUUGCCGAUCGUCCAGUUCACUUGGCCUCCCGUGAUCGAGGAUCAAGAAUGGCCGACAAAAACUAACGUACAUCCCUUCAGACAUAAAUAUAAACGCGGUGCUCUUCUACCUAGAAAAAAAGGGGUGACAAGACAGAAAGACGAUGCAGGUCUCGCGCUCUUUACAUGACGGACAACGAUCAAUUGAGCACCUUGUCUAAUCUCUUCACCAUCGUUCACGAUCGGUAAUUGACAGAAGACUUACAACUGUGGUGUACAAAAUUCACUAAUAACCUUACAAUGUCACUUCGGCCGCUGAAGUUUAGGUUUCGGGCUACUGGAGGCACGCGGGUCGCGGCGGCGGCGUUUGGGAGCCAGUACCACCGCCGAGAUGGAGAGGACCAGUGUCUCCAUCGGCGGCUCCAGGCCGUUGUGUGGCUGUUCACUCGAGGUACAUCGUACUUUUUAUGUAUUUUCAACAUCAUCCGUCAGACUGAUACAUGCGAACGAGAUCCGGAUAUUAACAAAACUACCGGGGAAGGGAAGUUUUGGUCAUAUAUCUGAGAAAACGUGUCAAAAUGAAAACUGCCCUUCAAAAUAUCUCAACUAUACUACAACAAAAGUUUGUGACAGGAUCCCUCCGGUUGUAUCGUUCUUGUACCAAAUCGAUCAUGAUCUUAUGUUAGUCGGAACCACCACUUUCUUAGCUUUUUUUUAAUUGAACUCGGCAUCCUAGUCUCUACCUACCGCGUCUACGUUCAAUGUUUUGUAUACGUGGCUGUUCAAAAUCUUGAAUGUGGUCGUUCAAGUUUUUGAAUGAUGGAGACAAAGACUUACAUUCUAGAAAACCGUUAAAUUUAACUUGACGGUUUUCCGGAAUAUAAAUCCUUGUUGCCUAU
rnacentral:rRNA from 1 species